GACAUCACAUCCGGUAAUAUUUCCUUUGGAAACGCAUGCCUUCCCUUCUCCAACGUGUGGAGUCAUCACUGCCGGUUCAAAUGAAGAGCAACAAGUUGGUGCAGAGAAGAAUGUCCCAUAGGAGAAGUGUGGUGCUACUGCGACUGUCAUUGAGUUUAAGAAUGGAUACUCAGUGUGGGAGAAAGAAAUCACAAUGGUUC